GUCAUGUUGGCUGAGUGGUUAAGGCAAUAGUUUUGUGCCUACUAAGUACACAAGGUUUCCUUGCAAGAGUUAUAAUCUCUUAGGUGACG
rfam:Picea glauca, whole genome shotgun sequence.